rnacentral:rRNA from 1 species
CCUACGAGAGGCAGCAGUGAGGAAUAUUGGUCAAUGGGCGGGAGCCUGAACCAGCCAAGUCGCGUGAGUGACGACGGUCCUAUGGAUUGUAAACCUCUUUAGGCGGGGAGCAAUGCCGGGCACGUGUGCCCGGAGGGAGAGUACCCGCAGAAUAAGCAUCGGCUAACUCCGUGCCCGCAGCCGCGGUACUACGGAGGAUGCGUGCGUUAGACGAAUUUAUGGGGUUUAAAGAGUGCGUAGGCGGAUUUUUAAGUUAGCGUGAAAAUGUCCGGGCUCAACCCGGGCGGGCCGUUGAAACUGGGGAUCUUGAGUGGGCGAGAAGUAUGCGGAAUGCGUGGUGUAGCGGUGAAAUGCGUAGAUAUCACGCAGAACUCCGAUUGCGAAGGCAGCAUACCGGCGCCCGACUGACGCUGAGGCACGAAAGCGUGGGGAUCGAACAGGAUUAGAUACCCUGGUAGUC